rnacentral:rRNA from 1 species
GAACCGUGCAAACGUUGUUCGGAAUCACUGGGCUUAAAGGGCGCGUAGGCUGUUCGUUAAGUCUUGGGUGAAAUCUUUCGGCUCAACCGGAAAAUUGCCCGGGAUACUGGCGAGCUCGAGGGUGGUAGGGGCGAUCGGAACUGCCAGUGGAGCGGUGAAAUGCGUUGAUAUUGGCAGGAACGCCGGUGGCGAAAGCGGAUCGCUGGAUCACUCCUGACGCUGAGGCGCGAAAGCUAGGGGAGCAAACGGGAUUAGAUACCCCGGUAGUCCUAGCCUUAAACGAUGGGUACUAGGUUGCGGGUGUGACAUGCAUUCGCAGCCGAAGCAAAAGUGCUAAGUACCCCGCCUGGGGAGUAUGGUCGCAAGGCUGAA